CUGGUCCUCCUAUUUUACGACCAAAUUAUGCUGCUAUUAGCCGCAUAAUUGGGUUUAUGAAAGGGGUAUAAGGUUCAAUGCAAAACAUUUGUGCAAAAUUGGCAUUGCAAUCAAUUGAUAUAAUUUUGUUAUAUUGCUCGGAACACAGAUGAAAACAACUGUUCCAUUUCAUCAUCAGAAGAUUUAAUGAAUCCAUACUGACGAAGUAAUUUAAGGAACUGUAAUGGGACAACCUCAUAUCAUAGUGUGAUUGUGAGGAUGAUAAUUUCAACAGGUAUUCUUGCCAGUUUUCAGGUGAAUGCCUGCAUUCAGGUCCUGGAAUUUUUUAAGGGGGAGAAUUGCAUAAUUCUUGAGUUUUCAGUCUCAUCAUCUGAAAGUUCAGGACCUGUAAUGUACUCUGGAAUUAUAAAAAAAAAUCAGGUGUGUAUCUCAUGUGUUAUGUAGCAUAUCUUUGAUCCCACCCUAUAUAAAUCCAUCGAUUUGUAAGCUUUAUGGAAUUAUAUCCAGUUGAACGACAAUGAAAGAAAUACAACACCUGGAAUAAUAGUCUCAAUACAUUUGGUUACAAUGAUGGGCAAGUUUACAGUUAUUGUAAACAAUCUGUGCACAGAGAACAUUCAAGAAAUUCUAAAUCGUGUUAAGUGUUUGUCGUUUGUAGAUGACUGUAAAGUUGGUCCAUGUUACAUGUAGACAAGCUUUAUUAAUAUUCACAUUUCUUUUACAGGUAUCACUUGUGAUCAGGUUUGAUCACUUUUCAGCAACCUUUUAUAUGUAUCAAACAGGACAAUUCUUUUGCACCCCUCCCUGUAGUCUUUGUGUACUUUUGACUUGGGCACUCUACAGAAUACACAAUUGGAACACGACCAGGAAUUAUGUGCUAUCAAGCAUUUCAGCCAUUUCUAUAGUUUCAAGUGAAGCAGAAAAUGGAAUAAACGAAGGAGUGGUGCCAAUCGUCGAUGGUUUGUAUUCAUUCAAUUCAGUGUCUAUCGACCUUCAGACUUCGUCUAUUACCCAGCAAGACUUUCAGGUAUCUGUAAAACUUUAUGGAAAAUUACUUUGUGUUCAACCCAUUUUUUUUCCAUGUAUUUUUACGUGCCUCUUUUAUAUAUUCAUACAUACACAUAGUGACUUCUGCAAAGCAAAGAAAAAAUAUAACCUUUAACCUGUGAUAUUACAUGAUGUAGUGUUUUUGGGCCAUUUCAAAUGAUGUGAAAUAUAUUUUAGGCAUGCAAUAUAAAUUUCCCAUCAUAUUCAGCAGUGAUUGUUGGGAAGUUUAUGCAUUUAAUUUUUUUUUCUUUUUUUUGUAACUUGUGAACCACCCAUGUGAGCUUUCCAUAUGAUGAACUUCAGGUGUAAAUUGACGUUUCGCAUGCAACUCUUUAAGAUCUGGGGGUUAUAAACAUGAAUUUUAUAUACAAUUGCUCUUUUGUGAUAUUGUUCCAACCAAUGUGUUGGUCGUACACUUCAAAUGAUUUUUUUACCCAUUUUCUCUAUUGUUAAAAUAAUGAUACCUCGCCAGAAAUUACAAAGAUAUCGCAUCUUAAUUUUGUUGUGUACAGAAACCUUCCGUGCACUAACAUUGAUCUUCAAUUUUAUGAACGACACUAUGGUAUAUUUAGAUCUCUUAACACCACACUUUCAGAAACUGUUCUAGUCUUGUACAUUUUCUAUUUUUGAUGUGCAUUAUAGAAUUUGACUUAUUUUUACUUAUUUUUGCUAAAAAUAAAUAUUGAAAGGGGUAUGUCCAGACAUUAAAAGUUGCAUAAUGGAUUCUUUUCAAACAUCAAUAUUUUGUAGAUUAAACUGAUGCUAAAAGAAAGAAAAAGAAAUGUGCAGAUAAAUCUGCCUUCAUGAAAAUGUGGACUGUUCUUAAUAAAUACAGCACUUCUUAAGGUGAUUGCUUGAUUCAAAAUGUUCUUGCAAUGUCGCUUAUGUGACCCAAUCUUUAGAUUCUUACCUCUGCAAUGUAUGUGUCCACGCAACAUUAUAGUCAACAAUAUACAAGUAUGUAAUGAUGUUCAUUAGCGCGCAUUAUCAUUCUGAACUUUAAAUGAGCAUUUGCAGUACUGAUAACAAACUUCGAUAGCCCUAUCAUGAGUUGAAGAUUGAAAAGGCGUUGGGAUACAAACCAAUAAUGCACCAUUUUCUCCAGUUUCAUCUUUGCAACAUGUGUUUUUAGAACUACUUAAGUUUCUUGGUAUGAAGCAUUAAGAAAAUAAAAUUAAAAGAAUCAAUGAACAGCAUAUGCUCGUCUGCGUCAAUAACCAUUUAAUGAGGAAGGGGGUUUCCCAAUGCCAUAAAUCAUGUUAUUAUUACACAAGAUCUGUUCUUGAUAUGGGCAGAUUUCUGGCAUGAAUCUUCAAGCACAUUUGUUUGUAGGCUGAACUUGAAUGCAUAUGUGGACAAAGUUGUCCAGUGUGCAAAUGCACUGCACUAUUAAAUCAUAAUAGUAGUAACUUCAUAGAAAUACUGUUGACAUGUUUUUAUAGCAACUCAUUUUGUUCUAUUUUUCAAUUGACAUUGCCAAUACUUGUACCAAGAGCUGUGAUGAAGAAACAUCAUUUUUAUAGCGAAUAGCGUCAUCAUCUUGAUAUUGAUAUUUUUACCCCCAAAGAAAUUUACCAUGUAAGAGAUUUAGCCAGCUUUAUUUUGUGCAAUUGAAUACCGACAGAUGAAAUACUUUGGAAAUGAGAGCAGUAUCUCAACGAAGUUAUACUUUGAUAUUUUAUCAUGGUUAUUAUUAUUCUCAUAAUGACAGAUUCUUCAAUGUGUUAUUCAUAUGAAAAAGCUAAAGUACUUGAAAUGAUUUUUAAAAAGAAUACAGGUACUUCUUAAAAAAAAUACAAGAACACCUCAUUUAUUUAUACAUCUUCCAACUGUCUCGUUUUUUUCUUUAAAAACUUCUUGGCUUUUUAUCAAUAGUUCUUUUUUUUACCAGUGCCUUGAAUUGGGGUGGGAGAUUCAAUACUGUUUAACACAUUUAAAUGAAAUUAACUAACUUAAUUAAGUACAUCAUUCUCUCUAAACUCUUUCUUUGCCCCCCCCCCCCCUCUUUCAAGUAUAUUUGAUUCAAACCAUAAUUUUUCAUGUUUUAGAUCUAGAUCAUAUGGAGUACAUGCACUAAUUCUAGAUCUCUCAAUCUUUAUCCUACAGAUAUGUCUGAUAGCCGGUGUGGCCUGAUGUUUUGACUGAUCACCAACCAUCAUCCUUUCGAAGGGAGGACGACGAUGGUAGUGGGAGAACACCUGUGCCUGGAUGCACACAUCUGUGUAGGAUGACAACUUCUAGUAUCAUGAAGCUUAUGAAGACAAUCAUCACAUGAAGAUUGGUAUCGCAGUAUCUGUGGUCUUCAAGAAGCCGGAGGAAUUCCAUCUAGGAUCAGUAUGAAGUAGCUACAAUGAAAGAGGAGACAUUUCUUCAUAUCAUCUACAUUACUUCAACACAGAGGAAUGUCUAUAAAGCUAUUUGCAGCAUUCCUGCUGCCUUGAUAAUAUGUCCCACUAGAACCUCUUGUAAUAUUUACACGGUCUAGGUAGCAUGAAUUCUUGUAUUGCAAAGUGGGGGAAAAGUAGUGAUGGUGAAUUAUAAUUUGUAAUUUGAGAAUCUACCAUCAACAUUGUCCAUGUAGGCAGGAUAUACAGUUAAACCUGUCUUGGCAACCCAAGUCUAUAGUGACCGUUGGAUGACCGUAAUAGACGGGUUUGACUGUACUAGUCUGUACAAUGCUUUAAAUUUACAACUAGAUGGAUCCUCAACUGCACAAGUCAAAAUGUGUGCCUUCAGAUCUGACCUUUGCACACUUUAUUCUGAUAGUGUAAAAAGACUAUCAAAUUGAUCCAAUCGCAGUCAUGAUAUAGUCUCUGUGACCUUUGACCUUCAGAUCUGCAGAACUUUUUAGAUCACCAUCACUCCAAUAUGCAUACAUGACCCAAGUAUGAAGUUGAUUUGUCAAACAGUUCUUGAGUUAUUGCAAGAACAAGGCUUUCAAGUUAUACAAUGACCUCUGUGACCUUCAACCUUUGACCUCCACACUCCAUAAUUAGGUCAUUGUCACUCCCAUAUGCAUACAUGAUCUAGAUAAAAAGUAAAUCUGUCAAACGGUUCUUGAACUGUCACGAGAGCUGAGAGGGGA